GUUACGUCUGCCUGGGGAACACUUCCUCAACCUAAUACUGUAAAACCAAGAUGUGUUGAUGAAAUCUUAAGGAAGGCCACAGUGAGGAACGUAAGGGUUGGUGGAAUUAAGGCAAACAUAAGGACCACCGAAAUGGAGAAGUUAUAGCUGAUGACCAAGCCCACAGUUUGAUACUGUAGAAUGCUUGCCCUGUGAAGCAAAGUUGAAUUCCUUUAAAAGGGUCCAGAGUUUCCUUGUGUGCGUCUCAGAGUUGGAGGAGUUCUAGCCUCUACGGGAUCUUCACGCAUCGAAUCUAAACAGAAACCAACUUUAAACUGGUCAUCACACGUGAGCAUCCUUGCCUCGGAGCAGACAGUGAUAAGAUUUGAUGGAGAACACCUGCUUUUUUCUUGGUCAUCUGCUAGAGAAAAAUCUGUUUCUCUUGCCCUUGGAUUUGCGGCUCAUCAGAAGUAGCCUGUCCAAAUUGUGUGUUGGAUCUUCCUUCUUUGCCUUUGGACGAAAACCUCUGGUAGACUCAUCCUCAGGGUAUCUAUGGAUUCUUCGAAGACUACCACGGACGCUGUGCGCUGACCUGAGCGACGCCCGACGUGUGCCUGCGCAGGACGUCCAUCUACUUCCGCUUCUGGUGCUGAGCUCUGCAUGACCUUUUACUCCCGCGGGCCCUCAGCCCUUGUAGGAAACCACAUGAUGAGAUCCUCUCCAGGUGGCGCCUGCCUCCCUGCCCUCUGUAGGGUCCACCCUGAUCCAGUUUUUUCUCUGUGUUCAGCCAUGCGGAUUCCUUCCAUCCAACCUCUUGCCUUCAAAGUUUUUCAGGCGAGAGCCAGCCUCUUUGUUUUCCAAAUUCCUCACAUGUCAAGAUCAAAGUUUUCUCACUGGACCUGAGGUUGGUUAACAAAGCGUAGUGGAGGGGAAGAAAAGCGUGGGGUUUACUGACAGUUGUUCUAAAACAUUAUUUAUCCAUCUUCCUAAUGCACUCUUAGCUUUUGUUCUAUAAUGGAAGGUAGGCGAUAGGCUAAGCGGGGCCGAACCUGGUUUUGGCAGCCUCCUUUGCAGGUCACAUGUAAACGACCGGGCGUCUCUCUCUAGGAGGCAGGGGCAUUUGUCACAUAACUUCUCAGCUUUGAAAUCCCAGCCAAAACUGAAACAAUGGAACAAAUCCCAUUUAGACUUCACACAUAUAAAAAAAAAUCUUCAAAAUUUUCUAAACGUUGUAGACCAUGGGGCGGAAAAGACCCCGUGGAUUAUGUAAGAGCAUGUUCUGCGUUAAGAUAGUUGUUGUAGUGUUAAUUAUAAAACUGUAAAAUUCCAAAAUGGUAAUUUGGAGGUAAUCCAGAGUCCUGUGAUAGGAGGAUGGCUCAGGAAGUGAGGACAUAUCUCUAUUAA